rnacentral:rRNA from 1 species
CCUACGGGUGGCAGCAGUGAGGAAUAUUGGUCAAUGGGCGUAAGCCUGAACCAGCCAAGUCGCGUGAGGGAUGAAGGUUCUAUGGAUCGUAAACCUCUUUUAUAAGGGGAUAAAGUGUGGGACGAGUCCUAUUUUGUAUGUACCUUAUGAAUAAGCAUCGGCUAACUCCGUGCCAGCAGCCGCGGUAAUACGGAGGAUCCGAGCGUUAUCCGGAUUUAUUGGGUUUAAAGGGUGCGUAGGCGGCCUUUUAAGUCAGCGGUAAAAGCCUGGGGCCAAACCCUACAUUGCCGUUGAAACUGGGGGGCUAGAGAACGUAUGAGGCAGGCGGAAUGCGUGGAGUAGCGGUGAAAUGCUUAGAUAUAACGCAGAACCCCGAUUGCGAAGGCAGCCUGCCAGGCCAUGACUGACGCUGAUGCACGAAAGCGUGGGUAUCAAACAGGAUUAGAUACCCGUGUAGUC